UAGGGAAUCUUCGGCAAUGGGGGGAACCCUGACCGAGCAACGCCGCGUGAGUGAAGAAGGUUUUCGGAUCGUAAAGCUCUGUUGUUAAGGAAGAACGAGUGUGAGAAUGGAAAGUUCAUGCUGUGACGGUACUUAACCAGAAAGGGACGGCUAACUACGUGCCAGCAGCCGCGGUAAUACGUAGGUCCCGAGAGUUGUCCGGAUUUAUUGGGCGUAAAGCGAGCGCAGGCGGUUAGAAAAGUCUGAAGUGAAAGGCAGUGGCUCAACCAUUGUAGGCUUUGGAAACUGUUUAACUUGAGUGCAGAAGGGGAGAGUGGAAUUCCAUGUGUAGCGGUGAAAUGCGUAGAUAUAUGGAGGAACACCGGUGGCGAAAGCGGCUCUCUGGUCUGUAACUGACGCUGAGGCUCGAAAGCGUGGGGAGCGAACAGG
rnacentral:rRNA from 1 species